rnacentral:tRNA from 1 species
AUCUUAGUAGUGUAUAUAACACACUUCAUUUUCAUUGAUGAGAAGAAUUUUUUUUCCUAAGAUG